UACGUAGGUGGCAAGCGUUGUCCGGAUUUACUGGGCGUAAAGAGCGCGCAGGCGGUCGUCCAAGUCGCGUGUGAAAGCCCCCGGCUCAACUGGGGAGGGUCACGCGAUACUGGUCGACUCGAAGGCAGGAGAGGGUAGUGGAAUUCCCGGUGUAGUGGUGAAAUGCGUAGAUAUCGGGAAGAACACCAGUGGCGAAGGCGACUACCUGGCCUGUUCUUGACGCUGAGGCGCGAAAGCUAGGGGAGCAAACGGGG
rnacentral:rRNA from 1 species